AGAGUUUGAUCCUGGCUCAGGAUGAACGCUGGCGGCGUGCCUAACACAUGCAAGUCGAGCGCGAACUGUUUUGUUAGAUUUCGAUUUAAGAAAACGGGGAAAGCGGCGGACGGGUGAGUAAUGCGUAGGUAACCUGUCCUUCACACGGGGAUAGCCACUGGAAACGGUGAUUAAUACCCGAUAGUCUCUAAGAGCGCCUGUUCUUGGAGGGAAAGAUUUAUCGGUGAGGGAUGGGCCUACGUCUGAUUAGCUAGUUGGUAGGGUAAUGGCCUACCAAGGCAACGAUCAGUAGCCGACCUUAGAGGGUGAUCGGCCACACUGGGACUGAGAACGGCCCAGACUCCUACGGGAGGCAGCAGUGGGGAAUAUUGCACAAUGGAGGAAACUCUGAUGCAGCAACGCCGCGUGAGUGAUGAAAUAUUUCGAUAUGUAAAACUCUGUCCCAGAGGAAGAUAAUGACGGUACUCUGGGAGGAAGCCCCGGCUAACUACGUGCCAGCAGCCGCGGUAAUACGUAGGGGGCAAGCGUUAUCCGGAAUUAUUGGGCGUAAAGCGUACGCAGACGGCCAAGGAGGUCAGAGGUGAAAGACAGGGGCUCAACCCCUGCAAGCCUUUGAAACCCUUUGGCUUGAGCAUAGGAGGGGAAAGUGGAAUUUCUAGUGUAGCGGUGAAAUGCGUAGAUAUUAGAAGGAACACCAGUGGCGAAGGCGACUUUCUGGACUAUGUCUGACGUUGAGGUACGAAAGCGUGGGUAGCGAACAGGAUUAGAUACCCUGGUAGUCCACGCCGUAAACGAUGAAUACUAGGUGUCAGUAAGCGAUUAUUGGUGCCGGCGCUAACGCAAUAAGUAUUCCGCCUGGGGAGUACGGUCGCAAGACUAAAACUCAAAGGAAUUGACGGGGACCCGCACAAGCAGCGGAGCAUGUUGUUUAAUUCGAGGCAACGCGAAGAACCUUACCAAAUCUUGACAUCCCAAUGACCCAUUGUGUAAAGCAAUGCUCUACUUCGGUAGCAUUGGAGACAGGUGGUGCAUGGUUGUCGUCAGCUCGUGUCGUGAGAUGUUGGGUUAAGUCCCGCAACGAGCGCAACCCCUAUUUUUAGUUGCCAUCAGGUAAGGCUGGGCACUCUAAAGAGACUGCCGGAGACAAUCCGGAGGAAGGUGGGGAUGAUGUCAAAUCAUCAUGCCCUUUAUGAUUUGGGCUACAAACGUGCUACAAUGGUCGGUACAACAGGUUGCUAAGUCGCAAGAUGGAGCCAAUCCCGUAAAGCCGAUCCCAGUUCGAAUUGGGGGCUGCAACUCGCCCCCAUGAAGUUGGAGUUGCUAGUAAUCGCGAAUCAGCAUGUCGCGGUGAAUGCGUUCCCGGGUCUUGUACACACCGCCCGUCACACCACGGAAGUUGGGGGCGCCCGAAGCCUGUGAUCCAACCCGCAAGGGGGGAAGCAGUCGAAGGUGAAAUCAAUGACUGGGGUGAAGUCGUAACAAGGUAGCCGUAG
rnacentral:rRNA from 1 species